rnacentral:tRNA from 1 species
GUGAAAUUGGUAGACACGCUGCUUCGGUUCGAGUCCGAGUAGCGGCA